UAAUACGGAGGGUGCAAGCGUUAUCCGGAUUUACUGGGUUUAAAGGGUGCGUAGGUGGGUUGGGUAGUCAGUGGUGAAAUACUUUCGCUUAACGAAGGAACUGCCAUUGAUACUCUCAAUCUUGAAUACAGUGGAGGUGGGCGGAAUGCGUCAUGUAGUGGUGAAAUACUUAGAUAUGACGCAGAACACCUAUUGCGAAGGCAGCUCGCUACACUGUCAUUGACACUGAGGCACGAAAGCGUGGGGAUCAAACAGGAUUAGAUACCCUGGUAGUCCACGCCCUAAACGAUGAUUACUCGAUCUCAGCGAUACACUGUUGGGGUCUAUGUGAAAGCAUUAAGUAAUCCACCUGGGGAGUACGAUCGCAAGAUUG
rnacentral:rRNA from 1 species